rnacentral:rRNA from 1 species
GAUGAACGCUGGCGGCGUGCCUAAUACAUGCAAGUCGAGCGAACAGACGAGGAGCUUGCUCCUCUGACGUUAGCGGCGGACGGGUGAGUAACACGUGGAUAACCUACCUAUUAGACUGGGAUAACUUCGGGAAACCGGAGCUAAUACCGGAUAAUAUAUUGAACCGCAUGGUUCAAUAGUGAAAGACGGUUUUGCUGUCACUUAUAGAUGGAUCCGCGCCGCAUUAGCUAGUUGGUAAGGUAACGGCUUACCAAGGCAACGAUGCGUAGCCGCCCUGAGAGGGUGAACGGCCACGCUGGAACUGAGACACGGUCCAGACUCCUACGGGAGGCAGCAGUAGGGAAUCUUCCGCAAUGGGCGAAAGCUUGACGGAGCAACGCCGCGUGAGUGAUGAAGGUCUUCGGAUCGUAAAACUCUGUUAUUAGGGAAGAACAAAUGUGUAAGUAACUAUGCACGUCUUGACGGUACCUAAUCAGAAAGCCACGGCUAACUACGUG